AGUAGUGGUUGGACCCCAAGGAGCCCCAGAAGAUGGAACUGACACAAGAUGAAAGAAGACAGCUGCCCCAAACAACAAGUAGAAGGCUGCCUACCAACUGACAACAUUUUCCUUGCUUAACCUGGACAACGAUCUGGUUGGCUGAUAUGCAAAAACUCUUGUUCAGACGUCCACCCUGGCAUCGAUGUCUCAAGAAGAGAAGAGUUCAAAUUGCUGUUGAUGGUGUUGUUACUGAAUAUAUAAAUAAACCACAAAAAUAACAGAGGACUAGGAAGGGAAGAGCUGUUUUGUUUGACCUUGUUAAAACUGUUGUGCUGUGGGACUUGACUGCUACAAUUAAAAUGAGUUUUUUGGUUUUCCUAUUGGCUGGGGCCCUUGUGUGCUCUCUGAAUGAUAACUCGGGCCCAUCCCAGGGACAGGUAGAAUUGAAAAGUCUUUUUAUUUCCAUAGGCCUAAGCCAAGCUCCUCAAAACAAGCUAUUCCAGGGCUGAGCUGGAGCAAGGCUAAUGCCGCGGUUGGCAGCCCAUGCGCAGCCUCCUCCUUGGUGAGCCCAGACGCCGCGCUUAUCCACUUCAGCUGUCUUUUAAAAGCCUCCUUCUCACAAAAGACAGAGCUGAUCUCAAGGGCCUGGGAAAAUAGAAAAUUCUCACACUGUGAUGGGAAACACUGUCAAGACCUGAAACUCUAUAGCAAAGUAUCAGAUGCCAGUGUGUAGUCACAGAUAAGGUGAGGGAACAGGGCAGUGUGGAAUAAACAACUACAAAAAAAUUAAAAUUGGUGAGUACGCUGGAAUUGUUACAUUUAAGAAACAAGCAAGACCAAUUCACUCUUCAGAGAGCGUGCCGCCAAUGUUCUUGUCAUUUAUUAACUAUGGUAUAUAUUUGUUACCCUCCAUAUGUCCUUAAAUGAGGUCUUAGGAUGAGUGUGGACAUUUCAGGCUGCUGACACCCUGGACAUUUUUGCUUGGGGUCAACAUAGGAGAUUGACUUGCUCACUUGGAAAAUUAAUAUUAAAUGUUGCUCUUCUUCUAUUGCUUGUUCCUGGUGUUUAGUUGUCUGGUUUUAGUGGGUCCUGCAUCCUAUCAAAGCCAAAGCUCUAAAAAAGCAUGUCAG
rnacentral:lncRNA from 10 species